rnacentral:rRNA from 1 species
AUUGAACGCUGGCGGCAUGCCUUACACAUGCAAGUCGAACGGUAACAGGUCUUCGGAUGCUGACGAGUGGCGAACGGGUGAGUAAUACAUCGGAACGUGCCCGAUCGUGGGGGAUAACGAGGCGAAAGCUUUGCUAAUACCGCAUACGAUCUACGGAUGAAAGCGGGGGAUCUUCGAACCUCGCGCGGACGGAGCGGCCGAUGGCAGAUUAGGUAGUUGGUGGGAUAAAAGCUUACCAAGCCGACGAUCUGUAGCUGGUCUGAGAGGAUGAUCAGCCACACUGGGACUGAGACACGGCCCAGACUCCUACGGGAGGCAGCAGUGGGGAAUUUUGGACAAUGGGCGAAAGCCUGAUCCAGCCAUGCCGCGUGCAGGAUGAAGGCCUUCGGGUUGUAAACUGCUUUUGUACGGAACGAAAAGCCUCUUUCUAAUAAAGAGGGGUCAUGACGGUACCGUAAGAAUAAGCACCGGCUAACUACGUG